ensembl:lncRNA
UCCAUAACAUAGUAUUUCAAAAUUCGUCUGUGGGUUUACAGAAAACAAAGCAAAAGUACUCUGUAUUUACAGGAUUUCUGAGAGACAGAAGGAGAUAUGUAAUGAGCCUGGAAAGGCAUUCCAAGCUUACGUAACAGUGAUGAAAAAAAAGCAUUUCAGUGAUAUCACACAAAAUGAUGAAAACCAUGUUUUGUAUUUAAGGCUGGAGUGAUGUUUAAGAAUUCAAACGGCUGGUUUUGGCAGACGUCUAAUUGUAAUACUGUAGCAUCGCUGCAGGCAAUUUUCUUUGAUUUAAUUAGAUGAACUGUGGUAUUUUUUUCUUUUUGCAAAAAGGCUUUAUUAUGUAGAAAUGAAAUAUGUAUAAAUUUAAUUUUUAAUCUUGUCACUACAGAGUAUGCAGGAAUAAGCUGAUUCUUUUAAUUUAUCCUCUUUGUUUAAGAAAAAAAUAUUAAAUUAAUCUUAUCACAAAUGUUUAUGAGUAAUUGAUUUGAGUUUUGCACUCCAGUCAGAAGUGAUAGAGUUAAGAUUGUUCUGUGUUUCUGAAUUGAGUGCACUGCAACCAUCUUCCUGUGCUAAACACAAAUAAUUUGAGAUCUCAAUUACAUUAUUUUUCCUCUAGACUACGAUAAUAUUACCAUUAAUAUCAGAGUUUGGAUUAUGAAAUAGAUCAAUCCAAAAGGUAUAUUUUGCAUUUUUCCUUGGUGGAUUUUUUUAAUAUAGUUGUCUGUUAAGUUUAACUCCAAAAAGUAAAUGAUCGCAAAAGAUUUAACACAUAUUUCAUGUUUUUAUUUUAUUUUAUGGGCCAGCUCCAGAGAAUAUCAUUUUGAGUAAAUUGAAAGCCAAUAUAAUUGUAAGUAUCCAACACCACUCACAGAGUCUAUGCCAUCAGUUUUCAGACAAAUCUUUCCCACUGAUGUAAAUCAGUUGGCCAUAUCAUUUUCCCAAAUCUGACUGUAAUCUUGCAAUGUCCAAUAUCUAGACCAUGGCAUUUAUUAAAUUUUCAAAAAUUUCUUGAUGCGAGGUAUCUUCAAAAUUCUGUAGAAGCAUCCUUGCACUUCUUCAUAGGAGCUAGACAAAAUUUGAAAGCCUAGGUUCGUGGAAUCUAAUGAAAAAUUUCCACAGACUUCUUUGGAACAUAACAUUUUGCCCUGUGUAAAAUGUCCGAUUCAUGAUGUUUUGAAACAAAUCAGAAUCUUUCUUCUGCUGAAAAUAGCAACCAGUGUUUCCAGAUUGUUAAACAGCAUUCAGCAAUAUAUUUAUUUAUUUGUUUGUUUAUUUAUUUAUUUAUUGCCAUACAGAUUCCACUAGAAAGAAAAAAACAAAAGGUGAUUUUUUUGAUCCAGUAACAUUUUUUCUUAAAAGAAGGGAAUAUCUCGUCAUCUUUUUAAGCCAGCUUCCCCAUUCCUUUGCUUUCUCUGCUGCUUGGUUUAGUACAGAGGAGAGCAAAUCAUGACUGUAAAGACUUUUUUUCUGGGAUAUUUGCAGCUCUUCUAAAGGGGAUUUUUUUUUUUUUAUUUCAAAAAGAAUCAAUCAAAACCACACUGAUAGUGUAGAUAGUUUGACUGUGCAUUGAUAAGAACUGAGUUCAGAAUCUUAACCACUAGUAUAUGUGGUAAAUGUGUUAUAAUAUAAUCUGCCAUACUGAGGGGUUGCAAAGAGUAAUUAUUGUUUGCAAAGCUCUUUGAGUUCCUCAGAAGAAGGAUGCUAUAAAAGUGCAAAAUACUGUUAUUAUUAUUACGAACUUCUAAAUGCCAAAAACUAGGCAGUAAUAAUAGAAGUGCUGAAACAACUUUAACAAUAGUGAUGUGAACACAUUAAGUUGUAAUAAAGCCAGAGUCAACUAAAUCAAUCAAGUAGGCCUUGCAAACUGCUUGUUAGGACAAAAUUGCAUCUUUUCUAAAAUAAAUACAAGAGCAGAUUCUCAGCUGGUGUAAAUUAGCCCAGCUCCACUGGAGUCAGAGAGACUUGGAUUUAAAAUGAGAGUUGCAGUUCCUUUUUUUUCUUUCUUUUUCUUGGUGCCAUUGUUCAUCUAUGCAUGUGUGUCUGCGUGUGUUAAUGUAUGCGUGUUUGGAUGUGCAUGCUGUAGAAAUACCAUUGCUAACAAAAUUUGUAUCAACUUCAUAUGGAACACAAGCCAAAAUUAUGAAAACUAAGCUUCUCUGUUUCAUUUCAAAUAGGAAAGGCCAUGUGCGUUGCUACAGGUUCUCCAGAUAGCAGGUGGACAUUUCUCCAUGAAAGGUUACUGAGAUGAGAGAAAAGAAGAGCCCUCAGUCCUGUAUUGAUUUUGGCAAUAUUUAUGUAUCACAGUUCCUCUCUUCAUGUGGUGAGCUCACAGAUGAGGAGCAUUCCUUCUCCUAGGUUAUGAAAGACCUGAAGCAUACUCCAGUGAUCAGUUAGUGGAGAAUUAACUUCUGGAACAGUCUCAAAGAUUUUUCUUGAAAAAGUUUGACAAAAUAUUUUCCUUCUCAUGAUUUUGUCAUAAUUUGUUCAUCGGAUGAGAAUGGCAAGAAAGGGAAGUGAGAUGGGUAUUUCAGCUAUCUUCUGGAGAUCAUCAAGCACAUGCCUUGUAAAAGAAGUCUUUUCAUUAUGUCAGCAAAGAAAUCUGCAAGAAAGAAAGUUACCUUUGACAGAGAUUUUAUGUCAGAACUUUGUAUUAACAUAUUGAAGCAUGGAUUCAGAAAAAAAAGAAAAGAAAAAUCAGGACCAUAGUCUAGCCAAUCCUAAUGCACCGAUGAUCAUAUUGGAAAGCUAUCAAUUCUGCCACUCCAGGUUUUCUGUGGGAAGAAGUUCAACUAACAGAGGUGUUAUUAAUCACAUAUUGUUAUUUUUAUUUGUACCAUUAUGCAGCAGUUACUACUCCUUUGGACUCAUAUAAGAAAAGGCCACACAUUUCAUAUGAUAACUGCAAUGCCCAAGGGAAAAAAAAAUAGCAGAGUUAAGGGUGCUUUAAUGUUUUCUUGACAUUCUUUUAGCAUAUUCAGACCCCAAUCAUUAUUUUCUAAUCAAAUGUAACACUGCAGAACAUGAGAGUGUUUGUGCUUUCCUUCUAUCAAUUAAUGCACAAACUGAGAACAUUCAAGUCCUGUUUUCAAACAGGUAUGCAUUAGUGUGAAAUAAGAGCUGAUCACCCUGCUGUACUGUGAAG